GCAUCUUUAGCUCAGUUGGUAGAGCAACUGACUCUUAAUCAGUGGGUCCAGGGUUCGAGUCCCUGAAGAUGCACCA
rnacentral:tRNA from 2 species